AAAAAGAAUAUUUCAAACGACAUUGGAAACUACCAACCAGCAGCCAGUGCCAUGAGGAAAACAUGGUGCUUACUAGACUUUAGACAUUGUCAUAGCCAAAGGAUAUAAAUCCAAAACCUAGGAAUAUUGUCAUAGACAGGCUUACACGAAUGAAGCAUGUGAUUGAGGCUUACUACGUAGGUUUUUGUGUAAAAAUUGUUGCGUACCUUUUGCCGUACGAUAAUGAGGUACAGUUGUAAAAAGAUGAUUGGGGCUUAUUUCUUAAGGAAAUGAACCGUUCUGGAAAAAAUUUCUUCCUUAAAUAACUUCUACUUAGCCUAUCUUACACUUAUCUUUCAAAUGAGCAGCCAGCGAGAAGGAACUCGUUGUUUAUAGGGCACAAGGAGAUUGAGUGACACGGAGGGAGGUUUCCUCUUGCCCUUGCACGUAUUGGAGGCAGAAUUCCACCUUCCUCUUCACCUUUUCUUUUGUAUUGUUCUUCAAGAGUAUAGGAUCACCCCGGGACAACUGGUUGGUUUCUCGUGGUUGAUUCUGGUUGCCUACUUUGUUGAUUGCUGCCUUCGGGGUGAACCUUUGUUGUUAUCCAUCUUUCAGCAUAUUUACCAGUUAAAAGCUUUUACGCGAGGGAGCUCCCUAGGGUUGGUCUAUUUCACCCAUUGAGAAGGGUGUGAAUCCAUCAUUUGCAAUUGGUCGUCGAAUCUUUGUCUCAACCAUUAUAAAUACAUACGGGGUUAUGUAGGUCAAAUUGGGAGCUAAAGAGGCACAUGCUGGCCGAAACUGAUGCCCAGGUCACUACACCAAGACACCAAUGUCGCAACACCAAAGAAAGAAGCAAAAAGAAGUAUUGGAACAAAAUUGCCUAUUGUGUCGCGACUCCGACCUAUGUUGCAACAUGUGAGGUGGAUGUUGCAACAAGGCUUCUGUGCGUUGAAAUAGUAGAUCUAAAGAAGAACUAGAGCGAAGCAUUAUCGAGCUACCAAGCAGAGAUGAUAAAGAAUCUUCAAGAUUAUUUACCGAAGUUGAAAUUAAACAUCUUGUUGCAUGCCCAGGUUAUUGUCGGGCCCUCCGAUGUUCAAUGCGUAGACUUCGAUGCUCCAAGUCACCUUACUGAUGCCAAGUUAGGUUUCAACAUUUUUUCCCCUUUUGGAGCGGAAUGAAAGGAGUUUGCAGAAUAUUGGAAAAAGUCAAGAGAGACUUUUCCUAUCUGAUGAACUUGCUGAGGCAUGCAUUGUUCGCACUUAUAAGGCAGUUGAGGGUGGGGACAACGAAGAAGACGACAUUGAUGCUGACAUGGAUGGUGCAGACCAAAACAACUAGCUUUAUAUAUGUUGACUUGUAUUUGAUGUGUUUUGGUUUGUAAUUUGAACUGAAUUUUGUUAGAUUGAUAGAGCUCUAAUUUUGAAUCACUCAUUGUGGGUUUAUUUUAUUUUCUGUCAAUCUAUUAUUUGCAUAACGUUGAACUAUUGUGAUUGAAUUUAAUUUGACAAAGAUACACCUAUAAUAGGAAUUUUGAA